rnacentral:pre_miRNA from 1 species
AUGUAGGGCAAUCUGUCUUUAAGUAGAGAUAAAUUACUGUUAAUGAAAAAGAAAUAGAAAAUUCUAUUAGUUUUCCUUUCAAGUCAAGAAUCUUGU